GUGAGUGACCUCGCGGGUGGGCGGGGCCUGGGGGUCCGUUCCCCAACUUCCUCGGCGCUCCGGACUCCCAAGUCUCCGCCGGACCCUCCUUUGGAUAUUCCUCGUGUCUCCGAUUCUGAGACAGAGGGGGAAGACGGUGGGGCCUCCCCACCUGCCCCGCAGAAGAUGCAGUUCUUUGGCCGCCUGGUCAAUACCUUCAGUGGCGUCACCAACUUGUUCUCUAACCCAUUCCGGGUGAAGGAGGUGGCUGUGGCCGACUACACCUCGAGUGACCGAGUUCGGGAGGAAGGGCAGCUGAUUCUGUUCCAGAACACUCCCAACCGCACCUGGGACUGCGUCCUGGUCAACCCCAGGAACUCACAGAGUGGAUUCCGAUCACAUGCCCAGUAGUUAACUGUUAAUCAACGCACUCUCUGUGGAACAACAGGCUGGUCCCGUUGAGCCAACACUCUCUGGGCACUGCCUUCACUA
rnacentral:lncRNA from 1 species